rnacentral:tRNA from 1 species
GCCCCCGUAGUUCAACGGAUAGAACGUAGGCCUCCGGAGCCUGAGAUACAAGUUCGAAUCUUGUCGGGGGCG